UGUGUGUGUGUGUGUGUAUGUAUCUAUAUAUAUAUAUAUAUAUAUAUAUAGAUACAUACACACACACACACAAA